rnacentral:rRNA from 1 species
CAGUCGCCGCGGUAAUACGGAGGGUGCAAGCGUUAAUCGGAAUUACUGGGCGUAAAGCGCACGCAGGCGGUCUGACAAGUCAGAUGUGAAAUCCCCGGGCUUAACCUGGGAACUGCAUUUGAAACUGUCAGGCUGGAGUCUUGUAGAGGGGGGUGGAAUUCCAGGUGUAGCGGUGAAAUGCGUAGAGAUCUGGAGGAAUACCGGUGGCGAAGGCGGCCCCCUGGACAAAGACUGACGCUCAGGUGCGAAAGCGUGGGGAGCAAACAGGAUUAGAUACCCGGGUAGUCCCUGUCUCUUAUAC